rnacentral:misc_RNA from 1 species
GGUCUCCACAAGGGUCUGUACCUUUCCAGCUAGGUGGUAAGUUUUCCCAAAUAUCCAUAAGAGCCUUCAACUUAGUUAAAUCAUCACUGUUAGUCAGUGCUGCUAUGCUACAAAUGUGGAGGGAAGCAACCAGCAGAAAAACCAGAAUUUUUGGAUUCAUCUCCGAAUAAAACAUCAAAAACUCUUUGUUUUCACUUUCAUAUUUUGCUCAACUGAAAACCCAUUUAGCCCAAACAAUCAAAUCUCAAUUGAAAGAUAUUCAAACUGAAUAUUUUCCUUAGCCACUUCUUUUUUGUCGAAAAUCGAACCGUGUGAAAAGACAUAGAGUGGAACUACUUAUAUUGGCAUAACAUUACAAAUCAUAUAAAUUGACUAAUCACAUGUUAGUCUGUUACCCAUCAUCCUCGUUUAAAAGA